rnacentral:rRNA from 1 species
UAGGCAAGGGAAGUCGGAAAAAUGGAUCCGUAACUUUGGGAAAAUGAUUGGCUCUGAGGGCUGGGCUCGGGGGUCCCAGUUCCGAACCCGUCGAUUAUUGGCGGGCUGCUUGAGCCGCUAAAGUGGCGAUAGCGGACUGCCUCGUGUCGGCCGGGGGACGGACUGGGAACGUGUCUCUCCCCCAAUCCUGAAUAGGAUUGUUGGGACGACCAUAGUUCGAGGAAACGUACCAGCCAGUCUUAGGACAUCAAGGCUAGACUUAACCAUAUAUA